CGCAAACAACUACAGGCUGGACUAUCAACACAUGCACCGAAGGGGAAAAAAUAUAUAGUGUCCUGUGUAGGGUCGGCAGGGAACGCAAGCACACGCUAAAGCAAGUUGGGAAAGAAUCCGAGCUAAUCAGCAAUCUCUUUCUCUCUCUCUCCUUCUCUCCCUCUCCCCCUCUCUCUCUCUCUCUCUCUCACUGCCCCUGAGAUCCCAGCUCGAAAGAGGUACUCCACAUUUUUUCAUUACCAAAAAUCCGUUGCAAUAAUCAUUUGUUGCUAAUUGAAACCCUUGGAGACAUUUUUCCCCACCCCCUUCACAAACAUGGCAACUUUUAGUCAUGGGAAGCACGUUUAGUUUUAUUUUAUUUAAAUUAAAAAAAAAAAUACGGUUAGGAGAAGGCUGAAUCUUUCACCCACGAGAAAUAUCAGCGAGUCAGCCCCCUUCCCUGGGAUGGGAGGGGGGAGUGGGGGGAACGGGACCCCGGUACAGUGAGGGCUUGGGAAAAUUUGGAAUACAUUAUACCGCCUUUGGCAGGAGAAUACUCUCCAACUAAUGGAUUCCUGCUCCUUUUUGUGUGUGUGUGUGUAUCAGUGUGGGGGGUUUCUUGGAAAGAGGGGUGGUGGUCGUGGUGGUGGGGAGCUGAGCUUUUAUUUUAAGAAACUGUUAGGGUAGGGAGUGUGUCAUACUUGACAAAUGGAACAAACGCUCUUCCAUUUCUUGCUUGUCCUUGCCUUAAAACAGGAAUUAAGUUAACCACAGUGCUGCAUGUUAAUUGCAUGUUUACUGGGCUAAUGAAAAUUACAAAAGGGUUUUGCCACCUCGAUCGGUGAUGAAAAAGUAUGAAGGCGAUUGUCAUUGCAGCCUUCGGGGAGGGCCCGGGGGGUGGGGGGGGAAGGACCGGCCACGAACAAUAUUGAUCAGAAGAAGGAUAAAUCUUUUAACUGCUUGUUAAUACCAUAAAUAUGGUCUACACAAGUUUCCACUCUUGUUAAGUCUAAUCAGUACAUGGAAGAUGGAGACAUAGCCCACUUGAAUGAAUUUUUAUUAUUGCCAGAGGGGUACUUGCAUCUGUGGGCUCCUUCCCCUCCUCAAUUUGAGCACCCCCCGCCCCCCCUUCCAAAACCCCCCCUUGCAGAGGAGGAUCGUGAAGGUGUGCAGAAAGCACAGGAGACAAAUCCAAGCUUUUUGUCCUUUCUUCAUUUUUCCAAAUGCUCCUUUUAUUUUUUUUAUUUUUUUAGUAAAGCUGAACGGGUCAUGGCGGGGAAAGCCUAAAGGGGGGACACCCCUGCCCGCCCCCCCCCCCCCCCCCCUUUUAUUCUUGAGAUCUCUGGAUGAAAGGCUGACCCAGUAAUUCAGUUUGAUGAUAACCAUUUUCAUGCUUGAAAACAAUCUGCCAAAUUAAACCUAAAUGGAAAGAGCAGUGGGAAAGGUAGUGAGAGCAGGGCGUUUUGAAAUCCCCCCCACCUCUCCGAAAGGGAUUAUUUGGCCAAAGGAGGAGGGAAAGGCAAUUAAAUAGACUAAAGAUGAUUUAAAUCCCAACCAAAAAUAAUUCCAGGGAGAAGUUUGCCCCCUCCGGUGUUGCCCAGCCCUGGAUUUGAAAACUUUGGCCCAACUUGUGGCAAUAGCUACAACUUUGCUCCGCAGGGGUCAGAGGGACAUUCCUCGCAGCAGCAGUGUUAGACGCCGAAUUGAAGAAAAUCCUGGAGUUGAACAUAUCUUCGGGGUUAGAAGGCAGAAAUAUGUGAACUGCUGAGAGAGGUGGGUACUUUUUGGUAAGUAUGUUUAGAUAUGAUCUUCAGAUACAUUUAUUGUACUUUCAAAUUCUUGGGAUACUAAUUGAGCUAGCAAACAAUAUCCCAGCUGAAUGUCUCAGCUUCUUCCCUAUUUAACAGGCUUUAAUGUAGAAGUAUAUUGUAGCCAUCCUGCUACUAAACAAUGUAGCUGAGAAGUCAGCAAAAAAUGAAAAAAACAUGUUAAAACCAAAUUAUAAUUGCUGCCUUAUAUCUGACUCUUCUUCCUUUCUGCAGUCCUAAUGAACUCUUUAAAGUUUUAUUUAUUUAUUUUUUUAUUUCUGAGUGACAGAUCAAAAAUAAUUAGCAGAAUCAGAAGCAGCCGGGAAGCUUGAAAUAAUGUGUCUAAAUAUUUCAUAUUGCUACUUAUAAUACCAGCCCUUCAGUUGUAAAAAGGAACCAUUCCCUAUUUAUUCUGUGGUGGUUUAUAAAUACAGAAGGAUAGAUUCUUUUUUUUUCCCAGGGCCUGUCUCAACGAUGCCAUAAAUAGAGAUUGAGCUAUCAGGAGGGGAAAAAGAAAAAAAGGGAAAGAAUAAAAUAAAAGCAAAACCCUGGACAGGAAUAGAGACAGACAGAUAAAUGUAUAACUGCAUCUGAACAAUGUUACGUAGCACAUUAGGAGUUGGUAAAAAAAAAAAUUAAAUCUAUCGCAUAUUUAUAACCUCAUAAUUAAAAUACAUUCUUAUCUCUCUCCUCUGAAAGGUUGCAGCUUUCUUGGAAGUAUUUUGAGUGCAUAUUUUAAACUCCAUGUCUCGAACUGAAUUAAGAUGAGCUGUUUUGCCCAAGAGAAAAACCUUUGUUUACAAUUUAAUAUUUAACUUUCAGCUGCCUACCCAUCGCCAUAUCAUUUUCUUUAGAUUUCACCUCCUUACAUUUGCAGGCUUUAUUUAAAAUGGUGUUAGCCUAUAUCAAAUCCUAAUUUCUUAUCAUAAGAAAGGAGUUGAUAUAAUCCAAAACAGUCCCCCUGGUCUAAUCGAGGUAAACUGGAUGAGAAUCUUUCACAUUCAAAGGGUUAAAGCUAACCCGAAAACUUUAAAGCAAAGAGAUACCAGCAAACAGUGAAAAAUGGUACAUCUGCUCUCUCUUGACAAGCUUGCAUUAUAUCACAUGUAAGGAAGCCCAAAUUUUUGAAUCUAAGACCAGUUUUAGUUUUUAAUAGGAAAUAAUUACAUGGAACUUUAUUUCCAGAGAGAAUGUCCCUUCCAGCUACAGUGUUUUGCUUUGAUCUAAGUAUUAACUGGUAAUAAAAUAACCAUAUUUUGGAUCCUAAGCAUAUUGAUGCUUAGAGGAAUGUUAUGCUUUCAAUCAAAUUUUAACUUUAGAUUAUCCGAAGGUAUUCAUCCUUCUUUUGUCAGAAACCAAUUUGCUCUCUUACUCCUACAGCUACUCACAUGUGGUUUGGUACACUUUGUUAUUUUAUAGUGGAAUUUGCACUAUUGAGGUGGAAAACUUUUUAGAUGGAAUGAGAUCAUGUUCCAGCCUGGCAAUUUGGGCUGUUUCUCAUACAGGUCCCCAGCCCAGCCCUUUUUUACACUUGUUGUGCACCACCACCAUCACUCACCUCCGAGGGCGACCACCGCGUCAGGAUUUUGUUUUAAAUAUUCAGAUUUUUUUUAUUUAAUAAUUUAUUAUUUUUUUUUAACCUGGAGAAUCAAUCAUUUGGACCCAUCCUGAACAAUUAACCUCCCCUUUAUAUUAGAGCCCCAAGUGCAGUACUUCAUAAAGACAUGAAAAGGACAUCCCAGUCAGCAGGACCCGAGCCCAGGCUUGUCACAGAGUAUAAAAGGAGAGAGAAGGGGAGUUUUUAUCUCUUUGCCCCGCCAAUUCUUAAUAGUUCUAAGUUUCAGUGUGACAAUAAAACAGUUUUGAUAACAUAGCUCAUGGGUUUCUCUGCCACAUAAAGUUUUCUUAAUAAUAAAAAAGAAGAAACUUUAUCCCUGCUAAAUUAAAAUAGGGCAGAUGUUGGAUAUGGUUCAUAUUAGCCAGCCUUUCACCCCUUUGCCCCUGGCACUAAAGUUCUGACUUUUUCUUUCUACUAUGUCUGUUUCUAACUGAAAGGUAUUAUUCCUGCCCUGGCUCUCUUCUUCUAUUUAUUUUUUCAGUGUCUAAAAUUAAACCUAUUCAUUUAGUAGUAUACAUUCUAUUUCACAUUGCUAAACCUGGCCGGAGAGGGGAAACGCUCUCCAAAAAAGUGAUGCACCACUGACCUUAAAAGAAAACAUGAAGCAGGGAAAGCUGUUCUUAAAAGGUUUAUUUCUAGAGAAUUUUGUAGCUCUGUUGACAUUAUAGGGAUAAUGGCUGUAUUGCAAUGGGCUUUCAAGGCCCAAGAGGUUUAUGUUUUCUUCUGACCGUGAGUCUAAUAAAAUUUUAAAGGUGCACAAAGUCUCAUCACUUUAGAUAUUUAAAACUGGUUUGAAAAAUCUCUUGGGAAACAUAUAUUAUGGUGGAUAGCCCCACUGAGAAAGCAGGGGAUAGACAAAAAAAUACCCUGAGUCCAAACCCAAAUAAACCCCCCCAGUUUUUUUCAUGCUAGCUCUAUGAAAAUCCUGGCUAUUAAACUCCCAAGGAUAGUACAGCUAUUUUCUGCAGGGCUCUGCAGAUAGAAUUUAUUGUCCAUUUGGAAUGAUCAAGUUUAGGCUAAUAAAAGGCCCUCUGUAAGCAGAAAUGCCCAAGUUGAUGUUUGGCAGAGUUUUCAGUGGUGGAGUUUAUACAGGAUGGGGGCUCUGCACUAUUUGAAAUAACUCCUAUCCCAGCAGCUGAAGAUGAUCUGACACACAAGUCAACGUUAGCAGGCAGUGAGUGAAGGUUAAUCAGCGCUGCUUUCUGAGCUGGGUGCUUGAAAGCAGGAAAAAGUGAAAGCUGCUUUCUCUAGCCCUUCCCUAUGCUAAGGUGCUGCUAACUUUUAUGAUUUUUUCCCCCCUUCCUCUUUUACUAUCUGUCUUUGUGCCUGAGGGCCAGUGAAAGAACACUGCAGAUUCUAGAUUGCUUUCAGAGUUUCCCUUUGCUGAUGAUGGAUUACCAUGUCAAUUUAAACGGCAUAGGAUUAAUUUGUUUCAAUGAUUUCUCUUUAGGCUGAAUGCCAGUCUUUUUUUUUUCUAUCUCUCUCCUUGCUCUUCAGAAAAAAAUAAUAACAAUAAUAAUAAUAAUAAAUCCUUAAACCCCCCAAACACUUUUGAGAUCCCAUGUUAAAAAGACAAUAAUAGAAAUAGACAAGUUAGGUGUAAUGUUGCAACACAGUUGUAGGUUUGAGUGUUUUUAUCUCGUUCUAAGGGGCUGCAGCAUACAGUCAGUCACAUUAAAAUGAAAUUGGAUCCAACGUUUAUUCAAUAAAUACUUGUCUUGUAGGUAAUCCAGAACAGAGUGCUUUUGACACAUAAGGACUUAAUUUGUCUUGGAUAACAAGUUAUUAAUAUGGCACAUUUAAACUUGCCACCUACAAUAAGGUCAUUUAGAUCUAUAAUACGACUCACGAGAGAACUUCAUAAAGCCAGAAACAAAGUUUGAAACUGCCUCUGAGGCGCGGAGCAGACGCACGGCUCACGGUUUGCUCUUUUCAGAAGAAAGUUCAGAGCAAGUAGGAGCCACCCAAACCCAAAUGGUGUGCAUCUGCUCCUCUUUGAAAGGCAAACGUAAAUGGAGAAAGGAGGGGAGAGAGAGAGAAAAAAAAAAAAAAAAAGGAACCCAAACACACAUUUUUGAAUGAGUAAGCUUUAAAGCUGUGCUGCGUCUGCUCGCAAACUCAUCGCAGCUUUGAAAGUGAAAAAACAACAUUUGGUUCAGAGUGGAAAUUCGCCUGCAUUUGCACCCUACCUCUUCCAUGUGCUUCGCAAUUUACUCGCUUUUAAUAAUAAGUGAGGAAGUUGGAACAUAAUCCACCCAUAAAUGUUAUUGCUGUAAUUUGACUGCUCUGUGUUUGUUCAUGCAUUAGUUGUAUCUGUAAAGCGAAGUGGGGAUGGAUGGUGGGGAUCCCCGUGCAGCAUGAACAAACAGAGCUGUUUGGGAUUUCAACACCCAAACGUCCUGCAAUUGUUUUCAGUUUUAGUUUCAGACCUGUCCUAACCCUGUGGUGCCUGCAAGAGGUGCAUCAGGAAGGGAAUAUUGUGGGAAUGCUGCUCGGGAUGUGUUUGGUGGUGGCAAUUUGGUGUCUACGCUGUGUCCCUGAGCUUUGUUAUUCUGCUUUUCUGUACUAAGCUCUUGGUUGCUCUUGCCCUGGCAGAUUCUGUCUCUUUAAGUAACUAAAUCUCAUUUUUAAGCUAUUCCUGAGAAAAGGAUGUUACACAUGAGUAGAAAAAUGCAGGCAAGAAAGGCUAAUUGAAUGAAAAGAGAGAAUUAGGUUAAAAAUAGAGUACAAUCCAGUAUCACAUUUUCACUAGUGUAACCUGAAAUGAAGGUGUCUCCAAGUCCCCAGUGAUGCCAGAGUGUUUAGAUGUUGGGCACAGAUGGAGACACCUAUUGAAAUGUGUCUGAAGAAGAUUAAUAGGACUUGUCAGUGUUGGGAAAGCACUGCUUUGCUGUAAAUUUCUACUAGCACAAGAUGAAUUACCGAUGAAUGCUCAGUUAUCAACCCCAUCACUAUCAUUGGACACUAAAUCAAAUUGAGCAGUUAUCUACAAUCAGAAAAUUUCUUUUAAAAGUAGGCAUACACCUUUAGGCUUAAACUCUUUAAUAAGACAAUAUCCUCGAUGGUAUGUGUGUGUUCACAAAAGGAUAUGAUUAAAAGUUUCUAUACAAAAAGCUUCUGUUCAGAAAUGAGCUCCAAGUUCAGUGUGAAAUCAGGGCUGUCAGACAAUAGAAGAUACUCAGAAAAUGCUGGUUAUAUAAUACAGAGUUCUGAUGGAGGUCUGAUCCAAAAUGGAUUUUCAUGCGUGUCAUUAGAUUUUGGAUCCAUCCCUAUUUAUGAGAGGUUUUUUACAAUCUCUGCUCUCCCCUUAUUUAUGGUCAUGAUAAACACACCCCUUCUCUCUACCUUAAAGACUGAGCAUCCAAAUCAUACAUUAAUGCAAAAUAGCCAUCAUGACUCAGGAUAUAUGUAUAACAAUAUUACCACCUCCCCCAACAUAUUUAGGAAAUAACAACUUAAUAUAAUGAACUACGUGAUGAAAGAGUCAAUGAAUAAUAUUUUAGCUGAGAAUAUUUCUUUCUCUCCUUUAUGAAAAGCGAAACUGUCACAAGCAAAACUACCGCAAGCAUUUACCAGCCCACUCCUGAAGAAUAUUACCUGCAUUUACCAUCUGAUGCUGCUGAUGACAAUGAUAUUAAAUAAGCAUUACACACUUUUAGUUUCUAGGAUUUCUGUCCCUCUCACGCAGACACUGCAUACUAUAUCCAAGGAGAUUUAUCAUGGUGUGUUUUCCAAAGUCAAUUUUUCCCUUUUUUUAGAGACAAGGGCAGUCAUUUGUGUUUAGGGAGGGAGACAGGUACAGAGUCUUUAUCUGAUCUGCGUCCCCAGCCACCAGCACCUUCUUAAUCGACGGCAGAUCCCCACUCUGGAGGAUCUGGCCCUGUCUGGGUUACUUCUUAGCCAAGCAAUGUUUCCUUCCCUUCAUCUCCUCAUGUCUCACCUGUGAUGCGUGUUGCUUUUUGAGAAGGGAAAAACACACUGUUUACCACACAGCCCAGUUUCAAAGCCUUUGUGUGUUUCUCAUCUCCAGCCAAAGCUUUAUUAUUUACCACCCUAAAAAUUCACCAGGGUAAGGGAUAGCAGAAGUUAUUUCCUUCAUUUUUACACCACAAUUUUCACACAGCAAAUGCCCUGCAUUAGGACCAGAUCCCACUCAGAUGGAAGUUAUUAACUUUCAGCAGAACGGGGCCGAUUUCAGCCAGCCCCAGCCUGUGCCCUUCGAACACGGUCGCUUUGCAGCAUCCCCGUGUUUAUUUUUUUUCUUUGGAGGGCAUGAUUCUUUAAACAUAUUUGUUUUACACAGAGCAGCAGUUGAAUCCUAACUUUUUUUUUCCCCCCACAAACACGUAAAGAGAAUAUUAAUAGGGAAUAUUAACAGCGGUGAGUGCAGCAUGAAGCUAGUUAGGUUGUAGUAGCUGAGAAAUAUGAACUAGUGAACAUAAUCCAUAAACUCCAUUUGGUUACUAUAAUACUCCAAUCUGUAUUUAUUACAACCCCACUCUGAUGCUUAUACAACUGCAAUUGCUAGAUUUAUACACUCUAAUGAUUUCACAAUAGAAAAAACCUGUGUCUUUAUCUUUCUUUUCCUGUCCAAAAUAACCCCUUCCACAUAUACUUCAGGCUUCUCCGGACCUUGUCUGGGUUUAAUCACAGGCUUUGGGACAAAAUGUGCAUUAUUAAGAAGUAUAAAUAUUUUCAGAAGCAAUCAAAGGGUUGAAAGAUUGAUUCGGCAUGUAGAUUGGAUUUAAUUCGAAGCAGCUUUGUUCUAAUGAGGACUACUGGGAUACAAAGACGGCAGCCGCUCAUGGCCACCAGUUGGGAACUUCGACUCGCUGCAGCAACCUGUCAAGAAUUCCAAGAAACUGCCAGGGUAAAAUUGCCUGCAGGGUACGUUUGCUGAAGCCUGUUAAUUCCUCCUGAGGUCAGUGGGUACCGGGUGCUGGGCAGCACAGCCUCUCCUGGCUGGGCACGGUGGUCGCGUGUGCUCCGGCUGCUUCCCAAGAGCCAGGGACAGUAAUGAAGAACGUGGGAUUUCCCACAGGAAUUUGGAAGAUGCCCAUGUCUAAGACAAUGGUGAGGAUUGGGCCAAAAUCCAGAUCCAGCCUUGAUUCCUUCAUCCAAGUAACCCUGUGCUGACCCACGGCUGCUGAUGGAUCGCAGCGAUGUGGACCUUCCUCCCUCCCUCCUCGCUGCCCUGCCUCAGAUCACCAGGAGGACCUGAGAGUACUGUGAGUAAGAGAUACAUUUUUUUCCUCACACAAAAAAUUCAUUGCAAAACUUCAGAUUUUGAAAUGACAAGGUCAAAAUGGCUCAUAUCUGCAAUGCUGGGGCUUGGGGAACAUUCCUGCAGUUCUUAUACCCAGGGCUGGAAACACAGGGAAAACAUUUUGUGAUAUGUACUAUAAUCACCUCAUACCCAGAAAAAUGGAGAAUUAAUUAUUUCUCUUUUCACACAAACAAACAUUUAUCUUCCAAAGACUCCGUUCAUUAAGAACUGCCAUUGAAUCCAAGAUUGAACCUAUUGUUAUUAAUCCUAAAUGAAUUCAAGUUUUUCUACCAUGAACAAAGCUGCUUGCCAUCUGAUAAUCCAAAUUUGCUCAGGAAAAAAGAAUGAGCAAAUGUUAGAAGCAGCAGGUGAAAUCAUACCACAGUUAUUAAGCCUUCUUUCAGGGGAAGCACAGGAUAGAUUAAAUUGUUAUGUUAGGCUAUGUUGUGAGUCCACGUCAAUUUUGUCUGAGAUCUUAUCUUAGCUCAGAACUGUUUCCUCCUAAAUUAAACAAUGUUGAAGACAUGAGAAGCAUAUUGACCCAAAGAUUCAUAACUUCGGAUUCAGCAGACUUCUGAUCUUUUGUCCACAGAGUAUCAAGUUGUAAAGCUGUGGGGUAUUAAAUAAUCAUGAUUAUCUUCAACUUGCCCAAGUUGAUUUGUCAUGCUGGGACACUGGCACAGAUUUUCCUUGCUGUUUUUUUUUUUUUUUUCAGAACCAUGCAUUGAUUUUGCCUGCUAGCUGGUAUCAUUUGCCACUGACCUUAUUGAGGGUGGUCCUAUCCUAAUAUUAAGUCUCAUGCACCAACUGUGGGCUGUAAUUCUAUCUCUGGUGCUCUUCACCCCUCUUUUGCAAGCACCAUUGUCCAAUAAAGCAGCAAACAAAAAUCUUACAAUCAAAAGAACUGAAUUAUGCUGGUACUUCGAUCAGCUGUUAUCAGGCUGUUCUUGAGAUUCAGAAAUGCAGUGUAAUUCACCUGGGAUAAGAAAUCAAAUUUAAAAAUGAGCUGAACAGACAUUUUUAGGAAUACGUAAAUUUCUAAAUAAACCAGCUUUUUAAUUCCACCUUUUCUAUAUUAGAACAGAUCAAUAUUGUCUGCACUUGGAGAUGAGUUUCAGCUGUCAUAAUUAAAUAUCAUCCUGCUUCUUGCAGCACAACGAUACAAGGACUUUUACUCUUGACACAAGAGUUUCCUCAAGUAGGGACAACUCACUUAUUACAGCAAUGAUUUAAGAUCCACAUGGUUCCAUCAUGUUUCAGAAAACAAAUCUCUACCAAAACACACAGCACGAUUGAUUCAUCCCUGGAGUCAGAGCAACGAAGAGAUGGAGUAAUAGAAGAAAUAAUAUAUUUUAAAUGCUUUUUAAAUACAAACAUAAUGAUGAUACAUUACAUAAUGUGAUCUACCCAGCCGGACUUCUAAUUAUCUACAUGCAAACCUCAUGUUCAUUCAUCACUUCAUUCUCUUCAGGUUUUUGGUAGACACUACCACGGAGCCAUAAGUUUGAAUGGGAAGGGAAACAAGGACGGUGCAAGACUGUGUAUUAGCUUAGACAAGUAGGAUGUCAUUGCCAGCCUGAAUUUGUUGAUGAAACCAGGCAUUAAGCAAGCAAAUCUGCAGCCACUGAAGCACGAGUUUUCUGACUUUAAGUAAUGACAUCCAGGAGGUGACACAGUGGAUUUACACCAGCAAGUACCUAUGGACUAAUAAUGGCCACUUAGCCCUGACAAAAUAACGAGACAAAAUGGAGACUCACCUCUGCCCUGAAAAGAAAGAUUUUGUUUUUCCUUGUUCUAGUCUCAUUUCAAAUAUUCAAGAAUCUGGGUUUGAUCAUCUUUGAGGAUGGGGAAGGACAUUUGUCUCUGAAGAACGGAGCUCAUGGAGUCACUUGGUCAAUCCCCAUCUGCACCCAGCAAAGGCCAUGGAGAUGUUCAAUGGUACAAAAAGCUAUCAGCUCCCAAUCUGGGGGCUGAGUGUGAGGCUGGGUCUUUCUGGGGGCUGAGGUUUGUGUCCCUUUGGUGAUCUAUAGUGGUUUCACCUGAAUGCCUGGAUGUUGUAGGUCCACAUGCACAUGGUGACUUCAUGUGCUGAAAACACAAGUGUGGCCAGGAGCCAUCAUAGUUCUUUGUUCCAGCUCAACUAUUUAGCUCCCCUUCUGCAAUGUUUUCUUUCCAUACGUCCUAAUUCUCCCAUCUUUUUCCCCUAAUAACAACAUAAAUGAGUACUCUACAGGUGUAAUUACGGUAAUAGUUCUUUUACUGCAAAUACUGGAAGCCUGUAACCUGUAAUUCACUUUUUCUGAUAGUCUCCUAUUCCAACACUAGACAUGUUAUUUUAAAAUGUCUAGGACCUGAAAGCUAAAUUUAUAGUGAUAGAUAAUAGUAAUGGAAACCAAGCAUCCUCUUUAGUUCAGACUUCAGAGCUGUGCUGUAUCUCUUGGCCAAUUCUAGCCUUGUUCUCCUAGAAAUAUCAUACCCAUCACUCCCACAGUGAUUCAAACAUCAGAGUUAAACAGAAGGAAGUAAAACAAAUCCCAAUUUGUUUAUUUUAAAGUAUGAAUCUAUAAAAACUCAAGACAUACUAACAUGCCAUGUCUUUUUUUGAAUGAUUCCAUGGCAACUCCUGGGGCAACUAUUGCUUCUCCACUGUGAAUCUGCCAUAUUUCUGAUAACAUGAGCUACCCUUCUUUUCUAGGAAUGAACCAUCACGAGACCGUGGUUGGAAAGCGUGGGGACCAAGCACUCAGGGAGGUGGCUGAUGCAGCUGAUCCCCUGGCCCUGGGCUGUGGCCCAGCUCUUGGUCAUGGCACGAGCCACCAGAGGCCAGAGGUGGGGACUGUUUGUGUCUUGGCUACUCCUCAUCUGUGUUUUGAGCUGCAGGAAGCCCUGAGAACCAAGGAAACACGAAUGCACCACCGGGGAUUUGCUCCUCUCGUGGUCUACACCUGAAGAACACCACAAAGUUCUGCCCUUUGCUUCUGCAGCAAGUUCUUGUUACCCAAUUCCUGCUGACAACAGAGGAAGAGGCACAAGUCAGCUCUGAAAAUGAAAGAUGAGAAGGUAAGUGAAAAGAAUAGUAAACACAGGCCAUUCAUGUAACAGGAUCCAAUUCAUUUUUAUGCCAGGGAGAAUUUUUAAAUGGGACUUCUCCCAGUGGAGAGCUCACAAUGCUCAUGGCCUGUUUCACUAAAAGACAAUACAUGAUUAUUCUGGGCUUAUUAUUAUUUUUUAUCACUCUUUUUCCAGUUGCAGGGAGUGAGGGCAGAGAUGAGAUCAGGACCCAGUUUAUUGUGCAGAACAAGGGGCUGCAGGACCCUGUGGAGGCAGGUAAAUGCACCCAGGCUGAAGGUUCAGGUGACAGGUCUGAGAUGGGAGAAUCCAUCAACAGCAAAAGUGGGGACUCAGCCUCCUGAGCUCCUCAGCCCUGGGCUCCUGCUGCUUGUUGCUUUCAGCAUCUUUUCCUUUCACACUUAUUUUGAAUCACCGAAAUGAUGAAUUGAAAAAAUGUCAUGUCAUUUGAAGCACUCUUUAUUGUAUUUAUAGGAAACAGAUUAUCUGCUCUCUGAGGAUAGUGGAAACGGAGUAUGAUGAGCUCAUCUGGAGAAAAUGUAGGUUGGGUGUGACAGAGAAACUUGUGUUUUAUACCGCAGUGACAUCUUAAUUUCUGGUUUUGCUAUGACAGACUCAGUGAUACUGAACCAUCCUGGUUCCUGCCUUCAGGCUGGGGUCACAAGCUGGACUUGGAAGAAGAAACUUCCAUGCAGAGAUGUGACUGCAGUGUGAACACUGUGCCAAGGUAAGGAAAUUUUGUUUAAUUCGGGGUGUAUCCAAUAUGUAAAAUCCAUACAAAGUCUGUUGUUCAUCCCAGCCUAGUUAAACUGGAUUUGACCACUACUUGUUCAACCUAGUAAAGUGUACCUGGGUACCACAGUAACACCUGCUCUGUUUAUAUAUUAAGAUUAUUUUGCCAGGUCAGCCCUUUAGGAUUUAACAUUUAAUUCAUAAAGGAUUCUAUAACACAUGCCCAGUUGUGCUCUCUCUCUGCUUCCUGAUGAUUUGGGUGAUUUUCUCUAGCCAAUUUAUAUUUUAAUUAGCCAUAACACUUCUUUACUUUCUAAUUUGAACAAAUGAGACUUAAAAAAAAAAAAAGCUAAAAAAUAACUCUCAAAGUCUGAAUGGAUGCUCAUUAUAAUUUUCUGUUCAGUACUUGCAGGUCCUGGGUUACCUUAGGUGACAUUUUCAUGUGGACUGCUCUGUGUUAGUUCUGCUCAGAGAGAAGGUAGUGACAGUGGAUCCUGUGUUAUAGGUUUCUUUACAGAUGAAACCUAGAGUGUCCUAAAAUCCAGUAAUCCACUCAAUACCAGCAACUUCCACACCCCUCUGUGCUCCCACCAUUGCUUUGAACCAAUUUAUUCAUUCAUUUGGGCUUUAAGCACUCGGAUGCAUUCCUUCUUGCUGCAACAGCAGGGGUACAGGAAGGGGUGUUUGAAACCACGCAGUCAAUUCCACCCUGGAUUUCAGGAGGAGUUAUUCUUGUCUCAGAGAUGACGCAUUCAAAUAUCCCUCUACGGAUUCCAGGUGAGUUAGUCACAUUUGGAUCCUUCCAAGUAAUACACAGAAAGGUGGUGAGAAAAUGAUGAGUCUCUGCCUCAUCACAAAAAGAAAAAAGCUCAGAAAAGUAGGUCUGUACUAGCCCUCAAAAUAUUCUAGAAGGACCUGGGGCCAAAGGGCUUUAACCUUAGAAACAGUAGAGAUGCACAGUAUUUACUUUACUGACUGACCCAUCAGCUGCUCUGUGUCCCCAGAAACAGUUCAGGAAAUAACUGGAAGUAUCUGAAGACAUAAAAAGGAUAAUUAAGUUUCAUUGUGGAAAUAAGAGGGUAAUCUGUCCAGACAAAUCUAGGACCUAGUACUGAAAGCUGUAGCAUCUGAAUAUAAAAAAAAUGAGUAAUUUUGAGAAAAGAUGUCUAUCAGGACUGUAAAUUCAGAGAGUAAAAAAGUAGCUUUGCUUAAUAGACCAUCUCUCUCUCCAUCUUCCUCUAACUCAUUUUCUUAUUCUCUUUCUUCCUUCUGUGUUAUUGCAAAAAAAUGUGUGCAAAAUCUGAUAUUGAGAAUGCUUUAGCUUCAUUCCCAUCUUCUAUUCUCAAAAUGUUUCGUUCCACUGGGAAGAUUUCCCCCGGGAGAUAACCUCAGCCAUGAGUGCACGAGGCUUGUGGGGUGACUGAUUUGCAAGGGAACAGCUGCAUUUUGAGGUGGCUCUGAGGCAGCCACGUCCCCACUCUUCUGAGGUUCUUAAAGAUAUUUGUGAGCUGGCAUGAGAAAUCACCUGGGACUCAGAGCAGACCACAAGUGCUUAGGACAGUGUUUUCUCUGCACCUUUUCUUGCUGAGCAGAACUGCAGCACUAUAAACAAAUGUGAGUUUUGCCUCAUUCUUAGGUCCUGUGAGUUAUGAAAGCCCACUCCAGAUGUAAUGAAUGUAUAGAUCAUUUUGACCAGAUCAUAAUCUAUUAGUAAAUAAUGCUCUCUGAAAAUGUAUAGGUGAAAUAAAGAACACUUCUUGCUACUAUUGCUGUAUUGGUAUCAAGGAUUACUGUGGAGGCCAACAUGAUCCUCAGGCUUUGUGCUACUGACAUUUAAAUACAAUGCAGAAUUAACUACAGGAUUUGGUUAGUAAAUUCCCUUCUGCAUUAGGAUAUUCAGGACUUACACUGCUGAAAACAGAACCCAAAAUUAUACAAGGCUUACCUAUGCCUUGGCUUCAGCUCACUGACACCCUCAGUCAUAUUUAGAGAUUUUUCCAUUAGAUUCCUAAUUUUGGUGGUGAUAUUAAUUAGCAAAUCACACAAUACUUUUCAGAAUGAGUAGAUAGAGCAAACCCCUAUAAUACCUAUGACUUUUCUUUGCUAUCCCUGGAGGAAGCCCAAGGGUACCAGACUAAGACCUAAGGCAAAUUGUCAGCACAGUCUAUAGGCCAUGGGAAGGUUAGGUUUAAAGAAGAUGUCACUUUAGGGACAUCUGUGUGACACAUGCUGCAGUGUCCAGACAUUGGAGACUACGUUUUUGCACUAAAUCUAGAGAGGAAGUCAAUAGGAAAAAAAAGGGAAAGAAGCACGGGGGAAUAAAAGUACUUUUGAAAGAGAAGAAAUCUACAUUUCAAUGAAAAUCCUUUCAAGGCAUUUCAAAUAAGAGUCUGAGAGAAAUAAUUACAAAGUUUGGAGAGAAAGAACGUUAGCUUUGAUAUCUUUUUCUUCUAUGAAGCAAUUAAAAUAAGCAAUUUUUCAAAUACUAAGCAGAAAAUUACUAAUGGCUGAACCCAAAAGCUUUCAUUUCCUUCUUGGGGCCUUUAUUCUUCUAAAAAAAGACAAAAAAAAUGUGAAGGUGGUUUUCCAGAUAGAUUAAUGCAUAAAGCAGUCGCUAGUUGGAUGUCAUAAAAACUACAGCAGCAUAGAAUAGCUGAGAUUAAGAGCUAGAUUUAAAUCAUGCAACAGUCCAGUUAAUAUCAAUGUCUAAUUAAGAAAUGCAUAAGAAGUCUGUAAUGUUGAUUUGAUGGAGAAAAACUCUAAUAGGGUUUCUUUUGGAAUUUUCCAUUUCAAUUGCUGUGUAGACUUUUAAUGGAUGUCCUAUCCAGUCUUUGGUAUUAGCAGGAAUCAUCCUCAAAUUAAAACCAAGGCCUAAAAUGGAACACAGGUAGACAAAUUAGCUGGUCUGGGAAGCAGCCUGGGUAGAAUGACAAUGUGAGCUGAAGCUGAAAUUUGAGUACAAAUAAAAGAGAGCAAACGUCUCAAAUCUGGCAUCGAAACCCUCUCUGCUUCUCGUUUGAAACAAUCUAAAACCCUGUAAUUUGAAACAAUGCGAUGUUAACCCAUUUCCCCACCUCCCUGAGCCUGCAGAAAUCCCUGACAAUUCAUACUUAGACACCUAGACCACUCAGCAUUAUUAAUUAGUCUUUUUUUAUUUAAAAAGCUUUCCAUAGUUAUGCAUAUUAGUGGUGUGUAGAGGUGGGUUCUUCUCUGCCUGUGAUGGGAUUUAGAGCACACAGGUCCCUGUCACCAUCAACGAGCACCAUUAAUCUCCCACUCCUCUCUGGGUAACUAAAUCUCUCAAACCCCUGGAGCAAAACUAAGCCUGUGGCAUCUUCUGUGUCCCAUGGAUCAUCCAAGACGUUUGGUCUCUAGAUAUGAGAGGGGAACUGGUUUUGAGCAUAUGACUAAUGCCCUGAAGUUGCUAAAAGAGGAGCAGUGUAACUCUUGGUAUGCACAAAUCCAUUUAGCAAAGAGGGGGAAAUCACAGUGCUGGGUUAAAGCAGCAGUGUGUUUGUUAUCACCACUCUGUUGUUGAUCCAACAGAGCCAGAGGGAAUGAUCUCAAGGAUCCAGGAAGAUGGUACACUCAGAAGAACCCCUCUGACCAAAGCAUACUGGGGAGUAAUUUCAAAGUUCAGUAGAACACAUUAAAAUAUAAUACAUUGGCCAUGGCAAAGCAAGGCACGUGAUUCCAUCUGUCUACAUGUCUCUUUCCAGUACUAAAUCCAUUCCGAGACCUUUCAGAAUUAUAUCAUUAAGUCUUGUCACGUCCACAAGGAGUGGAAAAGACUGGAGGUGAAAAUCAGAGUAACAGUGAAAUUUUGGCACUUUUAUUUUUGGGUCGUUGCCUGAAAUGUCACGGUCCAAAUUCAUGCCUGACAUUGCUCCCUUGACCCAUGAGGCACAAAUAUGUCAUAUUAAAGAGUGAUACCGUGGCUCUGGGGCAUGCCCCAAGGAUCCUUCUCCUUGAAAGAGAUGGGAACAAGGAUGCUCUCAGUGAGGCAUCUGCCUUGUCAAUGGUACAGAAGGUCUGAUGUGAGGACACUCAGGCCAUCAGAGGAGUCUGGGUUUUUUUUACCCUUCUCUUGCCUGUAAGACUGGGAGGUGCCAUGGCCUGGGAUGAUGUUAGAGGAUUGUUCAGGUGGAGUUCUAAGAGGAUGCUUUGUCUGCAACCUUUAUUAGAUUUAUGCAAUACUCAGGGAAAAAAACAAGAGUAUGAAGCAGGCUGUCCUUUGCAAACACUCACAACAGAAAAAAACCCCAAACCUUAACUUGUCCAACACACUUGAGAGACACAAAUUCUGUUACAGUUUUGCUAAAUGAGAGGAAUAUUCCUCCCCUCCUCUAUAAAACCAUCCUUUUAGACAUUACUGCAGUCAUGACCUCACUGCAGUUCCUGGAUUCCUUCUGAAGAGAUUAAAAUGAACUAAUACACAAAUGAUCUCAUCAGAGCAUAAAGGACAUCUUACACAGGGGGGAAAAACUAAUCAGGAGAACUUCAGUGCUGCAUUUGUUGUAGCAGUAGAAAAAGAACUGUAACACCACUGUGGAAAAACAAACUAAAGGUACAAUGCCAGAGAGGCAUUUUUCCAUCUAAUGAACCAUUUGGAUUUGUCCUACCUCAUCCUGCCUGUCACACCUGUCAUCCUCUUAGCUGUCUCCACAUCUAUCAUGUUUCCCUUUUUCCUGCCUUUAUCUACAAUUUCCUUUGUCUAUUCUGUGCCCUUCCCACCUGCUUUAAUAUUCCUGGUAACUAUGAAUUGUGUGCACUGCUAUUCUCAACUACACCUAAAAUGCAUUUUGCAGAGUACAUACAUACAAUCACCUUACACAAAAGUAUUCACACAUACUUCAUCUGUAGUUUAUGUCAUUCUGGAUUAAGAACACCUUUUCUAUGUUUUCAUAGAGUUCUCAGCCCAAGGGGUCAUGGAUGAUGACAGUUCUCAUCUACUUUGGAGCUGUUCUAAGAGAAAUCAGGAAGAUGAGUUGGGAGAGAUGCUUUACUUUCUUUGGUGGGAGAAUCUAUAAAUUAACAUUUAUGUAAGUGAGACUCUCACCACAUUUUUAAUGUUGUAUCACAUUUUGAGGCUGGAAAAUAGAAUAUCUUGGAACUAGGUGAUCUUGAAAGUCUUUUUCAACCCAAGCUUUCCUAUGAUUCCAUGAUCCUCGGAACAAGAUGAAUAUAGUGUCAAUAAUGCAACCUUAUCUCUGGUGCCCAUAGGUGCUCCUCAGCUCUGCCUUGAGGUGACACCGUUAAGCAAGAGGUGACAAACCGGUUUCCUUUCCCAAGGAAAUGUCACGUAACUGCCCAGGGGCCCCUUUUGGUGAGGGUUGCACCCUGACUUUUCAAGGAGAGAUGCGCUGCUGUGGCCCCUUCCCACCCUGGCUGGAGGAGCUGAAGCUGCUCAUUCACAGCUGUGACAUCUCUCAGGCAGGAGGAAAGGCAGAAGGCAUCAGGCUGUAGGGAGGGAUCAGAGCAGCCACCUUUGGACACUGGCAAAGAAACCUCCAGAACUCAUCCAGAGGAGAAGAGCUCCCAAGGCUAGACCAUGCUGGUACAAAGGAUGGUGGUACAUUUCUACCCACCCAACAAGAUUUGCUACUCCCAAAUGGGGGAGCAAAUACAUCCAACCCCAAAUGCUCUACAGCUGAUAGACCUGCUCCAGUGAAGAGAGCCCUGAGUGUUUUAGGAUAUGUGCUGCAGCAUUAGGAAAGUCCAAACAGCCAGAGGAGCAGUGCAGAGCAUCUGUCUCCAAGAAAAUAGUAUGUGAAAAGCUGUUGUAAUUCCUGUCCCCAGCAGCCUAACUGGAGGCACAGACUUCCCAAGUCUUGGAGGACUUGGAGAACUCAGGAUCCUCAGUGAGAUCUCUCCCCAAACGCUGCAGAUUUACCAGGUCAGCUCAGUCCAGGCCAAAGUUGCCGGGAAAGGUCCUGGGCUCUGCUCCAAGUUCAGUGCUCUAUUGAUUGGAAGAGGUAUUUAUUGUAGGGCAGGAUCUUGAGCCAAGACAGCUGAAGCUGCAAGGACUAAAUUGUCUAUUCCCGACCCACAGAUAAAACAAAUGGCCAGUUUUAGCCUAAUCAUCACUUCUGCCUGAGGAAAGAGAAACUCUUUGAGGUAAGUUCCCUUGGAUAUAAUUCUUUCUUUCUAGGUUAUAGAAGGGCUGCAGCUAAUACAUAUCCUGAGUCAUAAUGUGGAUUUGCACCUUUCCUGUUAAAUCUAGCUGGUUUAUGUCCAAAGGAUCCCUUCUCUCCCUAACGCUCGCCCAUAUUGUUACAACUUCUACAUUAGUUGCAGGUGUGAAAUGCCAACUGAUCCACACUUCUGGUGCUGUCAGCAGGGGAGUAAUGUGUGUCAAAGGCCUGCUUCUGAGAGGGGAGGUCACCCGGAUCUCCAUUCGCACAUCUGCUUUGCUAAACACAAAACUCUGGAGGUUUGAAAAGCUCCAAUGUGCACAACAUAGGAUGUGAUCACACGUACAGAAGGAACUGCUUGUGCCUGUCAUUUAGUAGGCAGGACACAGCAUUUUCCCUCAGUACAAAAUUCUUCCUGCAUUACAACAGGUGACGUUUUACUUGUAAGUUCUACAUUAAUAAGGAAAAGACCACUCUUCCCUGCAUUCCACGAGCAGACAGGAUACCAAGAGGUUAAAAAAGAGCCUCACACAUUAAGCAGCUUCAGAAAGAUGCUAAUAUUCAGCAUGCCCCUGCUUGGAGCGUGCAGACAAGAAGAUCAGGGAAGUGCCUGAUCAGAGCUCCUGAAGGGACCGUGCUGCUGGAGCCUGCCUUGCACAGAGGCAUCCUGGUUUGGUUCUGAGGGCUUCCAGAGGAGCUUUCAAACGUUUCUAUUUCCUGCUGUUAGUGGAUUUUUUUCAUACCUUGGAAUAAGUCUUCCGAUGGUAAUGUGUUUGCAGUUGAUGCUGAGAUAAUAGUUCUUGCUCAGGGGACCUCUAAUACACAGUAUUUUAUGCUUUCUACAUUUUAUAUGAGAUCAAAAACUCCUCCUAUAUAUACAUAUAUGCCUAAUUUUUUCUUGAUUCCUGCUAGAAUCUAGAAUAUCCCUCAGUAUCUGCCAUAAGGAUGCUCACAAGUAAUCUAUACAGAGUAUUUUUUGGUCUUAAUAUGUUUGACCUUUUAAUGUUGUGUUUAUGACAUCAUGAUUCUGGUUACUUUGCACUUCCAGGACAUUUUAAACACAUGCAUCCAAGCAUCAUUCACCACUAUGCACUGUAUUUUUUCCUCUCUCAGUUGACUAUUCCUAAUUUUUUUUGGGGAUAAUGAAACCAAUACUGACCUUUUAAUACAAAAUGAGAAAACAGGGACUUGGUCUUCAGCUGUAUGCUGAUGUUCCAUGGAUAUAACAUCAUGUUCCAUGGAAUUUAGACCUUGAAUCCUCACAGUAACUUAGCCAGAAUUAAAGAAAAGUGAUUUCUAAAGCCCGAAGCAUGCUGGGGAGAGCCAUGAGCUGAGCACAUAGAUCAGAGCAUGUUUCAUGAACACCUGGAAUGCCAGCCCUGAGCCUCUGCUGCUCAUAAUGGACAUCUCCUUAAGGGAGCUGCUGAAAAUAAUUUCCACUAGAAUCAGAAGAAAAUAAUUUUCAAGAGAAUCACUUUUAAUACUAAGGAAGGAGAGCACUUGCAUUUUAAAGAAAAGUUUGAUUCUGGAAAAGAGUCUCUGUGUGUGUGAGUUAGAGGAGCUGUGCUGUAGAAGACAGAGAGGCUGUUUGGCUCCUCAUGGAAGCCUCUGUUGAAUUCAGGCCUUUCCCCUGAAAUUCACACCAGAAAUUCAGAAAUUUCGUCUUUGAUCAGCACAGCUUCACUGUCUCCCUGAGUAAUAGGAAUGACAUUGGUUUCCCUGAGCUGUACAUUGUAGACAUGACAGAGCCAUGAAAAGAAAUGGAGAAAGGGAUACUGAUUUUCUUGGAAUGAAAUACAGAAAAUUUGAGCUCGGAAAACAUUUGAGUAUAAUAUGAUGAAAGUUUAAAGAAACAUUUUUAAAGAAACAUUUUCCAAGAGCAUGCCUGUUAGUUUUAGCUUCAUUUUUGCCAUGUAUAAUUAUGAGAAACACAGACAACUCAUAAGAUUUUUUAGUUUCUGUUGAGAAUUGCCUUUUCCAAGACAAUUCUGUUAUACUAUUACUUCAGCCCACUGGGUAUCAUGUAGGGAAGGUGCAAGAUUAUGCACAUGAAUAUUUCUGUCUACCAUUUAGGCGUGCUGAGACAAUAUCAACUUAUACUUUCUCCUGUCAUUGGUCCUUAUUCCAUAGAGGAUAUUCUUAAUUACCAGCAAGACAAUUUGGUAAUAUCAUGUAAAGUGUAACAGCAUAAUUUCUGCGAUGAUUUACACCUGCUAAGGAUCUGAAUACUGAAUUUUAAAACAUAGCUUAAGUUCAGAAGAAAGAGUAUUUUUUCUACAAGACACUGUUUCUAUUUUUAAUAGAAAUAAUCUCAUUAAUUUAAUUUACUGGCACUGUUCUUCUAAAUUAAAUGGAGCUUUUGAACACGAAGACACCAUUUUUACACAUUUUCACUGCCCUGAAAAAUUUGGAGCACACUUCUGUACUGGAUUAAAUCAACUUGGGUCUAAAUGCCUAAACACUAUUUUUGACAACUGUGCAUGAGGGAUGUGCCUGUACAGGGAUUCUAAAGAAUAAAAACCUAAAAAUAUCUCAGUUGCAAAGAAAAUUCCCUGUAUUCCUUCUUACACUUCGUAAUAGUGGUUAUAUAUAUAUAUCUUUUUUAACCCUCACAGGUUUAUCUCUAAUUCUGUUGGAAAUUAUUGAAAUUAUUCCACUGACUUUAGCAAAGUCUCUUUUCUGCUAGAUUAAAGGCAAUAUUUGUGCUUCAGAUUUGCUGGUGAUGUCCCACUAAUGAAACAGGUAAUUUUAUAAACAUGUCAGGGAGGGUAAGUGUCCAAUAAAAAGAUGUCAGAUAGAGAUGCACAAAUUACAGUCUAUUUGUAAUGGAAAUAAAACCAGGAAUUCUUACUGUGAGUCAUGAAUUUCUUUAUAAUUGCUUCCACAUUUGGGACAACUUUUCCCUAGGUUGUCUACAGAAACCCUGCAAUCCUUGGGGCUUCUGAUGGCACUUAUGAUCACAACAACACAUCUCAUUUCUGAUAAAAAUUACUUACUUUGGGAAGGAUUGUUUUUUUCUCAAAUUGCUUUUCUGAGUCUUUAUCUACAACUAUUUUCUUAUCCUCCUCCUCAUUUUCUAUUUCUAAUAUAAAAACAGGAGUCCUUAUCAAUUUAGAAGAGCAAUAAAUCUAAAGAAAAUUCAGGCAGAACUGUAAAGCACAGUCUAUUUUAAAGUUCCAACUCAGAUAAUAAGACUCUGGUUUGUGCUGCACCUCACUCAUGGACUCAGUUUUCCAUAGUGCAUUCAGUGUUGUAAUAAUGCAAAUCAAAUACAAUUUUAAUAACUCCUUCCAUUAAUGUUUUAAGACUGCAACACUUAUGAGCAUGAUUCUAAUUGCAUGAUUUUGCUACAGGCAAGUUUUAUAGAUCUGUCUGAUCUUUGGAUAUUUGCACCGUUUGGAUUAUUUUAAAUAAUUAAUUUUUGGAAGAAUUUCAGUCUCGGUAACAACAGUUGGGUUUGAUAGUGGUUGUCUUGUCAGUAAUUGUGUGUAUCUACUUCCAUGCCAGGAUAAACUAGAUAAAUUUAGAACUCUUUGGAAGGAGGGGGCUGAGGUUUAUACCAUGGCAAAUGUUAUGGAGAAUGUUCUUAGGAGGGCAAUAUUUAUAGACUAUGUUAAUACAAGGAGCAAAGGAGGUUUAAAGUGAAUAAAAUUUUGUCGUGCAGAACAAUUAGUUAAUUAAAUUGCAGGACUUUCUGCCAAAAGAAUACCAAAAAUACAAUCAACUUAAAAUACCAUUAAACAUUCUUGUUUUAUGCAA